UCCGCGAGGGGCGGGGGGGCGGAGCCUCCGGCCACCGGCCUGGCCCGCCAUUGGGCGAGCCUCCCUGAGGGAUCCCUCUGACAGCCUGUGAAAGGCGCGAAUCUCGACCCGAGGAGGCGGGAUCGCCAAGGGGACCGGCUCUGGAGGUCACCGCUCCGCGGGACGCGUCUCGCGGCCCCGGGAGCUUCGCGGGGGCUUCCUCCGCUGUCGCCGGCGCGAACUCCGGCGGCUCAGCGAGUGUCCGGGGAGAACCGCCGCUCCGGAGCCCACAGCGUGCCCGGCCCUGGUCGCGCCGGUCUCCGCCUCGACGACUCGGUCACAUCACUUUCUCUUCAGAUUUCCCUCGGGUCCUCGGGGUCCCUCCCCGCCUCUUCGCGCCCAGAAAGCUGGAUUUCGCAGAUGCCCCGCUCAAGGGAGAGCAUUUUUUUUUCCCCGGGAAUGAAGUCGCUCCUCCGUGUUGGCCAUAGUCGAUGGAUGGGAGGGGCUAAAAGUCACUUGGUGUCUUGACAAGGUUUGUUACUGUUGUUAAAAUCGUCCGCUCUUCAAAGUUUGAGGGAAAUCACUUCCUGCGAGCCUGGGACUUGCGGAUUGCUUCUGAGCUGGAAGGUUUGUCUUUAUCACUGUUUGUAGAGGGACAGGUACAGAUGGGGAGAAAAGUGAGCUCUCAUCUGGAAAUGAGCUUCUACUUCUGAUCUCUGCUUGUCUUCUGUCUCCAAAAUUUGAAGUUAAAAUUUGUCACUUUGAAAUUUUCUUCCAAAAAUUCCCAUGUGAUCCCCAAAAGAUAUUGAGAUAUGAUAUCUAUAAACAUAUAUAUACCUAAAUUUUAUCUUAUUUCAUAUCUUUAAUCCUAUUUCUUGUGAAUGAGUAACCCUAGUACACAUACACACAUACCAGUACCUGCCCACCUUGCCCUGAGUUAUAUUUCAAAGCCUUCUUGUCUGAACUUACAAUAAGGGCACCAUGCCUCAAACACUUUCCCCUAAUUCUCUAUUUCCUAGGUUUUUCAGAUCAGGCUGCCAUACCUGUAUCUUGCUGAUGUUAGAUAAGAUAGCCAUAAUAUUAGGUAACAGUGAAUGGUAGGAGAUAAGAUUGAACCAUGGGGAAUGGCUUGGAGCAAACACCCCUCUCUGCCAUGUGCACAAUUAGAAUUCAUCAUGGGGAGAGGAAGAAGGGUGGAAGGUCAGUAUGGGAAGGCUCUUUAGUGGGUACUUUUUUCCAGUCAGAGCAUCUUGGCCUCCCUAGCAUCCCCUCCCCCCCUCAGGAGUGAUCCUUUGUGAUGUCUGAGCUCCCCAUAGCCACCAUUGGCUGUGGGAAGUGCCCUGAUGACAAAACAAAGCUGAAGGGGUGUGACUCCUCAUUGCCCUGGGGAGGGGUAUAUAUACAGAGGACAGGACCCUUGGGGUAAACAGUUGAGAGCUUAAACAUGGCCAAAGUGACCAAGAAAUCACGGGAGCAACAAUCCACAAGCACCAAGCGGUGGAAGAAGAAGAAGACCCGCUCUCAACCUAAAUCAAGACGCAAUAACAAGGUUCUGAAGAUAUACAAGAAGAUAAAAAGACCAUUUCACAUGACCUCAAGAAAAAAAUACUCUCCUAAAGUUACAACUACUUCAAGAAGGCGGAAGAGAGGGAGAAGGGCCAACAAAUUUCAGCCAUCACGGUAGACUGAGCCAUAAGCAGCCAGGCCAAGCCCAGCAUACCCUAUAAAAAGACACCACUUGAAUAUAAGAUCCCUGCAAACAGUACCUGCAGAGCAAGCUUCAGAGACCUCAGACAAUCUGCUGCAUCUAAGUCCUGGCUGCUGAGAAAUGGCCAACUGCAUAGGGACUUACUCAGACACUAAUGUGGAAUGGUGGUUUAAUGGUGGUUAUUAAAAUCAACAAGGUGUAAGAAACCCCUCCAAAAAUAAAAAUAGGCUCUCUGCCAGAAA